GCCUACACCUAUUCAACGCAAUGUUAAAUGCGCCAUCGUGGAACCUCCAAAAACAUCUAACCGUGUCUCUCCCCCGCAGUGCCUUGCCCAAGUCAAGAAAGAAUCGGAGUCGAGCAAGCUGAAGCUGAAGCCGAAGCGGCGCCAUCCGACACCGUCCAGAGACCGCUGGAAUUCGUGCCUUAUUGUCAACGAUGAGUGCUGAAGUGCUGUGACUUUGGGAAGGGGAUCUGAGCUGACGCUGCUGCACCUGUUGAUGCUGUUUGCGGUUUCGUGCUGAUAUGCUGUGACUGGGAAGGGAUCUCAGCUGACGCUGCUGCACCUGCUGUUGCUGUUUGCGGUUUCG